GGUGGAGAAGUUACUUUGUAAAGAUCUUGAUCCCACCAAUAUGCUACUAUAUGCACAAUAGAUCAAGUCUUUGUAUUUGAGAUGUGCAAAAAAGUACAAAAAAGAAUCUUUUGAAAAAAUGCUAGAAUAAUCAUUCCAAUAAAAUAAAAGCAAUCAUCCUAUCGAUGAGGAAGAAGACACAAUUUUAAUAACAAUAAUGAUGACAAUAAUGACCAAGAUAAUGACAAUGAAUAAACAAUGGCAAUACAAGAACAGGAACAUUUUAUCAUCGAUGAGCUAGUUGCUUAUUCGAGACAGUUGAGUGGCUGUGCAAUACAACAAUAUUUGGUACCGUGGUAUAGUUACAAAGAUUAAUGAACAUGACGUCAGUGUUGUUAGAAACCGUAGCAACAUGUGACAGAAACUUUUUUAAAUGGUCAGCUACACAGAAGUUCUGAAAUAUGGGAAAGAUAAAAUUUUGAGUCAUAUUGCCCCCAACUAAUCCAAUGAACCCAAGAAUCUGUUUCAUUAUGUCUUCAUGUGAAGCUAUGUCUUCAUGCGAUUUAAGAUUAUCUUGAAAAGAUAAAAAAAGAUUUACGA
rnacentral:lncRNA from 1 species